AAAAAGAAAGAUUAACGACAUGUGCAUGUAACAAACUGAGCGAUGUUCGACCUUAACAUCUAUUACAAAACUAUCAAUAUCUAGAUGAUGCGCUUAAAAAAUUCUUUCACAAUAUCAGGAAAGUCGCCUUUAGCUUCAUUCCUACGAUGUUUUAGCAAGUAUAACAAAAUUCAUGCCAAGUUUUUAAGAUAAGCAUCGACAUGAGGUUGGGACCUUUUUUAUUUUGUUCCUAGGGGGCUCCCAGUUUUCUGUCGCGGCAGCCUGCAACCAUGAAUCAUGUUAGCACGAAACAUUCCAUCAUGCUGAGUUAAUGUAACAAGAGCACAACUGAAGUAAAGAAGAUCAAAAGAUGAAAAAAUAGAUCAGCAUUAUAGAAAAAAAAUCCAGAUGAAUGAAUAAAACAACUCUUUCUCCUAAAUCUAACAUAGCAGAGUAUGCAUGUCUAGCUACUAAAAUUACUACACAUGCAAUGUAGUUUUUUUAAGAUCCAAUAAGCUCAUAACCAUGUUUAACACGAGAAAUAAUUGGACUAAAAGGAGAAAACAGAGGAAUAUGAAAGGUAUGAGACUUGGAAAGGAUGUCUAGAAACUAAUAGGAGGCACACUGUUAUCAACACAUAUGAAAGAACACUCUUCAAGUUACAAAAGGAACUUCGUUUGAUGUCCUAAGCUAAUUUAGUCUCCACCGUAUGCAUUGUUAUUAUCUUAUAGUACAAAAUAAAAUAAAAACUAAUUAUACCUCCAGAUGUUUAUACUACAUGGAAGAUAAUUAUUGGAGAAAAACGACCAAUAAAGCAUGACCGAAGUUUAAAAUUUGCAUCCCUAAAAAGUAAUCAUUGUACCAAAGGAUUUGAUCUAUGAGAAUUUUCCUUUUUCCCAAGCAACAACAUCGAACUUUUCAGGAGAAGGGUAUAUACAAUAUUUACUAAACUGAAUGCUUUCCACCUAUUUCUAAAAGGAAUGGAUCCUUCAUCUAGUCCUUUGCUAUCUCGUACAAAUUCCUUAAAGAGUACACCUACACUGCGGCAAAUAAUGCAAUGCCUAGAGGUAAAUCUAUCGAUUUUGGCACAUACGUACUUGCAUGGUGUUCUCCUCCUCUAUCAGCAUUUGUCAGUCCAAUUUGUGCCUGCAUGAACAAUCCACUUCAGUUAAGAACAUUGUACAAAAGUAGGCACAUUAGUUUAUUGGAUGGAAGUGGUAAGGAAUAAACACUAAAACAUAGUUCCUGAUAUUAGCUAUUAAAGCUGGAGCAUAAUUUUCACACCAAGUAAGUCCCUACAGAAAACACACAUCAAAAGAUGAGAGAACUUUCAUGGACAUGAAACAAAAUAAAUCUGAAUGAAUCCAUUUAUAUGAUUUAUAUGCAAGAACAAUGUGUGGAUGCUGUCUUAGAAGAUGUCCUUUGAAAGAUCUAUUCAUCGGAAGGCAGCGGGAUUUGUAUUGAUCCUUAUAUAUUGUCCAAAUUUCUAUAUUGGAACCCAACAGAAAUUGCACACAUUUAGCUUGAAGUGCAGAUUUAUAGAAAUUAACUGUGAGCGACAUUCUCUAAUAAUUAAUUAUACAUUCUGAUUUCAACUAACCCAUGAUCACAGAAGCAGAAGCAAACAACUCACUUCCUUCACAAUAGCAAGCCAAUUUGAUCACAGAAGGCAAUGAUUAACUGACUUAUCCAUGUGUGUGUGUAUGUUAAAGUUUACAACACAAUAUCUAUUCAGCGGCAGAACCUUGAUUUUAUUUUCUUGUAUGUGCAAAGUUGAACCGCUAGUGGCCUCACCUCUGAGCCCAUGCCCCACCUUUGAAAGCCUGUGAUCAAACGAGAGAUGGGAGUAAGCACAGUAUCCUGCAGUCAAAUGAGAGAGGGAUUGACAAAGGGGAAUUGAAAGUGAACAAAAAGAAAAGCAAAUUCUUGAAGUGAACUCUUUCCCAGAACUGAGAAAGGGG
rnacentral:lncRNA from 1 species